AGACUCCAACACGAACACUGUCUGAAGGUUGCCGUCUGAGUUUUCAUAUACGAAAAAUCGUCAAAACUUUCAACAACGGAUCUCUUGGUUCCGGCAUCGAUGAAGAACGCAGCGAA
rnacentral:misc_RNA from 1 species